GACGAACGCUGGCGGCGUGCUUAACACAUGCAAGUCGAACGGUGAAGCGCCUUCCUUUUUGGUGGGUGUGGAUGAGUGGCGAACGGGUGAGUAACACGUGAGUAACCUGCCCCCUUCUUCUGGAUAACCGCAUGAAAGUUUGGCUAAUACGGGAUAUUCUGGGUCUGUCGCAUGAUGGGUCUGGGAAAGAUAUUGUUUCGGUGGGGGCUGGGCUCGCGGCCUAUCAGCUUGUUGGUGGGGUGAUGGCCUACCAAGGCGGUGACGGGUAGCCGGCCUGGGAGGGUGGACGGUCUCACUGGGACUGAGACACGGCCCAGACUCCGACGGGAGGCAGCAGUGGGGAAUAUGGCACAGUGGGCGCAAGCCUGAUGCGGCGACGCCGCGUGAGGGAUGGAGGCCUGCGGGUUGUGAACCUCUUUCGCCAGUGAAGCGGGCCUGCCUCGUUUGUGGGUGGGUUGACGGUAGCUGGAUAAGAAGCGCCGGCUAACUACGUG
rnacentral:rRNA from 1 species